GGGGAUUUAGCUCAGUGGUAGAGCGUUUGCCUAGGAAGCGCAAGGCCCUGGGUUCGUACCCAGCUCCG
rnacentral:tRNA from 1 species